GUGAAUCAUCAAAUCUUUGAACGCAUAUUGCACUCUCUGGUAUUCCGUAGAGUAUGCCUAUUUGAGGGUCAUUUAAAAUAAUAUACAUUCCAUGAUUUUUCGGAAUUUAAACUGGGUUGUCCAUUUUUUGUGCUCAAAUACAAUCCCAGACAAGCUAAUUUUCCCGGGUCGCGUGAUACUUUAAGUCACCUCGUGACUUAACCAGGACUCAUCGGUCGUGUUAUGAAUUUUACAAGAGAUAAAAAAUUCCAUACAUUUAUACCAUACGAAAUCGAAAU
rnacentral:misc_RNA from 1 species